rnacentral:rRNA from 1 species
AUUGAACGCUGGCGGCAGGCCUAACACAUGCAAGUCGAACGAGUGGCGGACGGGUGAGUAAUGUCUGGGAAACUGCCCGAUGGAGGGGGAUAACUACUGGAAACGGUAGAUAAUACCGCAUACCAUCGGAUGUGCCCAGAUGGGAGUAGCUUGUAGGUGAGGUAACGGCUCACCUCGGCGACGAUCCCUAGCUGGUCUGAGAGGAUGACCAGCCACACUGUAAGUGAGACACGGUCCAGACUCCUACGAGAGGCAGCAGGGGGGAAUAUUGCACAAGGGGCGCAAGCGUGAUAUAGCCAUGCCGCGUGGAUGAAGAAGGCAUUCGGGUUGGAAAGUACUUUCAGCGGGGAGGCGUUACCCGCAGAAGAAGCACCGGCUAACUCCGUGCCAGCAGCCGCGGUAAUUC